CAGUCCUGCAGGAGCAGUUGAGUCAUGAGAAGCUGUCCCUGCUGAUCAAAUAUUGAUGUUGUCUUUUUCUUUCCAGUGGAACAUGCUGCAUCACUGGGGAAUCGAGAAGCAGAAUUGGACCAGCGAGAUGCAGCACUGAGGAAACGAGAGGCAAAAUUGGCGGAACGAGCCGAAGCACUGGAGCAACGAGCAGAAGCACUGGACAAACGAGCUGAAGCACUGGAUAAACUGCUUGGAGAACUGGACUUGUUCACUCUGGAUUCAAGCACGUUUGAUUCUGAAUUGUCUUCCCAAAGUGUUAGAGACAUGUGAGAUGGAAGUGCACAGAAGAACCUGCCUUACCCUUGCAAGAGAUUUAGUUAUUGGAACUGAGUGCUGGGCCAGGAAUGUUUCCGGGAGGGGAGGCAUUGCUGGGAGGUGGAGGUGGGAGGUGAUUCAUGGUGAGCUGUUGGGGUGGCCAGAGUGUCCCUGGAGCGGAAGGGGUCUCUGAACCUGAACCCUGAAGGAGGCAUCUGUGCUGUCAGGCACAAGAAGGGCCAGUCCAUGGCUCUCACCUCUACUCCCAUCCCCCUGUCCCAGUCCCUGCUCCCCAGGAAGAUCUGGGUCUUACUGGGCUGGACACAGAGGCUGGUGACUUUCCUCAGCGCUGACACUGGGAUCGAGAACUUCACUUUCCCACCAGCCUUGUUCCACAGGGAGAGACCAUGCACCCCUGGUUUUGAGUGGAG